GACGAACGCUGGCGGCGUGCUUAACACAUGCAAGUCGAACGGAAAGGCCCUGCUUUUGUGGGGUGCUCGAGUGGCGAACGGGUGAGUAACACGUGAGUAACCUGCCCUUGACUUUGGGAUAACUUCAGGAAACUGGGGCUAAUACCGGAUAGGAGCUCCUGCUGCAUGGUGGGGGUUGGAAAGUUUCGGCGGUUGGGGAUGGACUCGCGGCUUACCAGCUUGUUGGUGGGGUAGUGGCUUACCAAGGCUUUGACGGGUAGCCGGCCUGAGAGGGUGACCGGCCACAUUGGGACUGAGAUACGGCCCAGACUCCUACGGGAGGCAGCAGUGGGGAAUAUUGCACAAUGGGCGGAAGCCUGAUGCAGCAACGCCGCGUGCGGGAUGACGGCCUUCGGGUUGUAAACCGCUUUCGCCUGUGACGAAACGUGAGUGACGGUAAUGGGUAAAGAAGCACCGGCUAACUACGUG
rnacentral:rRNA from 1 species